AUUGAAUGCAUGUGGGGUUAGAAUUGAAGGAUUAGAGAUGUCCUGGAAGGCUGGCCUUUCUGUGAUGAUAAAAAUGGGGAGAUAACGCUUGCUUGGUUGCAGGGCAGAUAGUGGAGAAAACACAAUCCGUUCAGGGCAGAACAAUUGGGAGGAGGGCGUCCUGACAAGAACUGGGAGUCUGGGAGACCUGCCAAGAGUUCAGAGAUCAGGGCAGUUACUGAACUCCUCUUAGGACCUACAGGGGGACAGUCUGUCUCUGCGCAUAAGGGCCCUUUCAACAGAUUAGAUGUCUGUCCAUCUGUCUACUGGUAUGUCAUAUUCCAGUAGAAUCAACAUUUAGAAGAACCUCCUUGAGAUCAAAAGAAGUCACAACCACUCCUAGGUCCUGCUGUUGUUCCUGCUGCUGCCCUCAUAUUCUAGUCAGUGUGGACACACAAACAGACACUUGCCUUUGGAGCCCUGGGACACCAUGUAAGAAGGACAACUACCAUGAGGCCAUUGUGUUAUAAAAAGUCCAAAAUAGUUCAUGCAGAGAGACCGUGUGGAGAAGGCUACAUGAAGAGAGAGAUGCUUGAUCAGCCCUGACCCUCCAGCUCUAGCCCUACAACUGCAUGACACCCCAAUCCAGGACUAUCCAGUCACAUCUUUCCAGAAACAGAAGCUGAGCUUUAAUUAUGAAAUAAUUGUUAUUUUAAGCUACUAAUAAAUUAUGGAGUGAAUUUCUAAUUCAGCAAUAGUAAGUGGAACACAUUUGUAUUCUACUAUUCCUUCCUUGGAUAUGGAUGGUCCUACUUAACUAGUCUUGUGCUGGUAGAUGAUUCACAGGUAGCUCCCUGGGAUGGGAAGUUCUGAUUUGUAGUGCUUGCUGAUUACUUUAGUGUGAUUUCAAGUUGUCAAGGUGAUGCUACUGAAAGCAGAGCUGGAAAGAAUUACACAACAUCACACCAUUAUGGUUUUUCCACAAUAUAGACAAAAUAGAUGUAAAUAGCUUCACAAACAUAGAUAGUUGUAAAUUAUAAAUUAAAAUAAAAUAAGAAAUGGUAAGUUGUAAGUUUGUAUUAUCUUUAUGCUUA
rnacentral:lncRNA from 10 species